CCUACGGGUGGCAGCAGUGGGGAAUAUUGGGCAAUGGAGGCAACUCUGACCCAGCAACGCCGCGUGAGCGAUGAAGGUCUUCGGAUUGUUAAGCUCUUUAAGCGGGGACGAAAAAAGGGACUGUACCCGCAGAAUAAGCCUCGGCUAACUACGGGCCAGCAGCCGCGGUAAUACGUAGGAGGCAAGCGUUAGCCGGAAUGACUGGGCGUAAAGGAUGCGUAGGGGGUUUGGCAAGUUGGUAGCGUAAUCCCGGGGCCCAACCUCGGUGCUACCACCAAAACUGUUGAACUUGAGUGCAGGAGGGGUGAAUGGAAUGCCCAGUGUAGCGGUGGAAUGCGUAGAUAUUGGGCAGAACUCCAGCGGCGAAGGCGAUUCACUGGACUGUAACUGACACUGAGGCACGAAAGCGUGGGGAGCAAACAGGAUUAGAUACCCCAGUAGUC
rnacentral:rRNA from 1 species